UAGGGAAUCUUCGGCAAUGGACGGAAGUCUGACCGAGCAACGCCGCGUGAGUGAAGAAGGUUUUCGGAUCGUAAAGCUCUGUUGUAAGAGAAGAACGAGUGUGAGAGUGGAAAGUUCACACUGUGACGGUAUCUUACCAGAAAGGGACGGCUAACUACGUGCCAGCAGCCGCGGUAAUACGUAGGUCCCGAGCGUUGUCCGGAUUUAUUGGGCGUAAAGCGAGCGCAGGCGGUUAGAUAAGUCUGAAGUUAAAGGCUGUGGCUUAACCAUAGUAGGCUUUGGAAACUGUUUAACUUGAGUGCAAGAGGGGAGAAUGGAAUUCCAUGUGUAGCGGUGAAAUGCGUAGAUAUAUGGAGGAACACCGGUGGCGAAAGCGGCUCUCUGGCUUGUAACUGACGCUGAGGCUCGAAAGCGUGGGGAGCAAACAGGAUUAGAUACCCUGGUAGUCCACGCUGUAAACGAUGAGUGCUAGGUGUUAGACCCUUUCCGGGGUUUAGUGCCGUAACUAACGCAUUAAGCACUCCGCCUGGGGAGUACGACCGCAAGGUUG
rnacentral:rRNA from 1 species